GACGAACGCUGGCGGCGUGCUUAACACAUGCAAGUCGAACGGUGAACCACUUCGGUGGGGAUCAGUGGCGAACGGGUGAGUAACACGUGGGCAACCUGCCCCUAGCUCUGGGAUAACCCCGGGAAACCGGGGCUAAUACCGGAUACGACCUCAAGCGGCAUCACUUGAGGUGGAAAGUUUUUCGGCUAGGGAUGGGCCCGCGGCCUAUCAGCUUGUUGGUGGGGUAAAGGCCCACCAAGGCGACGACGGGUAGCCGGCCUGAGAGGGCGACCGGCCA
rnacentral:rRNA from 1 species